AUUGAACGCUGGCGGCAUGCCUUACACAUGCAAGUCGAACGGUAACAGGUCUUCGGAUGCUGACGAGUGGCGAACGGGUGAGUAAUACAUCGGAACGUGCCUAGUAGUGGGGGAUAACUACUCGAAAGAGUGGCUAAUACCGCAUGAGAUCUACGGAUGAAAGCAGGGGAUCGCAAGACCUUGUGCUACUAGAGCGGCCGAUGGCAGAUUAGGUAGUUGGUGGGAUAAAAGCUUACCAAGCCGACGAGCUGUAGCUGGUCUGAGAGGACGAUCAGCCACACGGGGACUGAGACACGGCCCAGACUCCUACGGGAGGCAGCAGUGGGGAAUUUUGGACAAUGGGCGCAAGCCUGAUCCAGCAAUGCCGCGUGCAGGAUGAAGGCCUUCGGGUUGUAAACUGCUUUUGUACGGAACGAAAAGCCCUGGGUUAAUACCCUGGGGUCAUGACGGUACCGUAAGAAUAGGCACCGGCUAACUACGUGCCAGCCGCCGCCGUAAAAC
rnacentral:rRNA from 1 species